rnacentral:rRNA from 1 species
GUACACGUGGAUAACCUACCUAUAAGACUGGGAUAACUUCGGGAAACCGGAGCUAAUACCGGAUAAUAUUUUGAACCGCAUGGUUCAAAAGUGAAAGACGGUCUUGCUGUCACUUAUAGAUGGAUCCGCGCUGCAUUAGCUAGUUGGUAAGGUAACGGCUUACCAAGGCAACGAUGCAUAGCCGACCUGAGAGGGUGAUCGGCCACACUGGGACUGAGACACGGCCCAG